UGUACUCCAGCACACGGAUCUAACCUACGGUUUCAAAAUGUACGGACAGAACCAAGGAAACCAGUACCCUCCUGGUUAUCCCAACAAUCCUCAGCAGAUGCCAGGGGGAUUCCCUCAAUAUCCUCCAGGCACUGUCCCAGGACAAAACUACCCUCCUCAGCCCUACGGUCCACACGGAGGCCAACAGGGACAU